rfam:Gossypium hirsutum cultivar TM-1 chromosome 16, whole genome shotgun sequence
UGUUAAAAAUUUCAUCCAUUUAUAUUGUUAAAAACUAGUGUAGCUGACAAAACAAUUAGACAGUGACACGUGAAUGCCACAUACACUUAAUGUUGAUGUAUAGUGACCAAUUUUUAACAACAAAAAUAGAUGAAAUUUUUAACA